rnacentral:rRNA from 1 species
AAAACGACUCUCGGCAACGGAUAUCUCGGCUCUCGCAUCGAUGAAGAACGUAGCGAAAUGCGAUACGUGGUGUGAAUUGCAGAAUCCCGUGAACCAUCGAGUUUUUGAACGCAAGUUGCGCCCGAAGCCUUCAGGUUGAGGGCACGUCUGCCUGGG